GGUGGACGGGGGGGGAGAGGGUGGGAAGGAAAAAUUGGAGGUAGGGUGAGGGAAGGGGAGGGUUGAAGGGAAAAUAAUGAAACAGAGGAAAAAAGAGAAUAACAAGUAAAAAGCAAUGCAUGUAAAUACAGAGCAAGCAAGUAGGAAAGCUAGGCAUAGCACAGCAAAAGAGAGCAAAGCAAAAGAAGGCAAAGAAUGACAAAAAGCAACCUUGCAGGAAUGGAGGAAUCUGUCCAGAGCUGUGCCCCUGCUUGCCACAGGAGCUGCGCGCGGGAGGAGAAGAACGUGGGCCAAAAGAAGGCAAAGAAUGACAAAAAGCAACCUUGCAGGAAUGGAGGAAUCUGUCCAGAGCUGUGCCCCUGCUUGCCACAGGAGCUGCGCGGGAGGAGAAGAACGUGGGCCAAAGGUAAGAGGAGUCCUUUGGGUUCUGGGCUUGAAGCAAAGCUGAGAAGCCAU
rnacentral:lncRNA from 7 species